rnacentral:rRNA from 1 species
UGGGGAAUAUUGGACAAUGUGCGAAAGCCUGAUCCAGCCAUGCCGCGUGUGUGAAGAAGGUCUUCGGAUUGUAAAGCACUUUAAGUUGGGAGGAAGGGCAUUAACCUAAUACGUUAGUGUUUUGACGUUACCGACAGAAUAAGCACCGGCUAACUCUGUGCCAGCAGCCGCGGCAAUACAGAGGGUGCAAGCGUUAAUCGGAAUUACUGGGCGUAAAGCGCGCGUAGGUGGUUUGUUAAGUUGGAUGUGAAAUCCCCGGGCUCAACCUGGGAACUGCAUUCAAAACUGACUGACUAGAGUAUGGUAGAGGGUGGUGGAAUUUCCUGUGUAGCGGUGAAAUGCGUAGAUAUAGGAAGGAACACCAGUGGCGAAGGCGACCACCUGGACUAAUACUGACACUGAGGUGCGAAAGCGUGGGGAGCAAACA